CAGCCGUAAACUAUGCGCGUUAGGUGUAUCGGUGACCACGAGUCACCGAGGUGCCGAAGGGAAACCGUGAAACGUGCCGCCUGGGAAGUACGGUCGCAAGGCUGAAACUUAAAGGAAUUGGCGGGGGGAGCACCACAACGGGUGGAGCCUGCGGUUUAAUUGGACUCAACGCCGGGAAUCUCACCGGAUAGGACAGACAUAUGAUAGUCGGGCUGAAGACUCUACUUGAUGAUCUGAGAGGAGGUGCAUGGCGUAGACGUCU
rnacentral:rRNA from 1 species